rnacentral:tRNA from 1 species
AAGAUAUUAGUAAAAUGAUUACAUAACUUUGUCAAAGUUAAAUUAUAGACCAUAAAUCUAUAUAUCUUA